UUCGUACGUAGCAGAGCAGCUCCCUCGCU
rnacentral:piRNA from 6 species